AAACAACCAAAUAAAAUCCGACACAUUAAACUCUCCAAAAAUCUCGGUCACAUCACGCACAACAUCCCUAGCCUCCUCAGCUUCCCCCAACAUCAUUUUAGAUAUGACGUUGUUUGAUAACUUUAGCAACUCUUGUGUCACAUUCACAGCCUCGUAGUUUUUCGCUUUAUCAGCGAAAAACUUAAGGAGAUUGUGAGUCUCUUGUAAACGCAAGUGUUGGAAGCUACUAAUGCUACGAGAGCCCAAAAGUUCGUUCAUACUAAGUUUUUUAAUAAAUCUCCAAUAUUCGCCAUAGGGUGCAAAAGCUAGGGAUGCUUCGUAGGUGAGGCGUUUAAUUGCAGUUGAUUCAUUACGACAAUUAAAGGCAUGUUCGUUGAUUUGAAGGAUUUGUUUUGCGUAGUGAGGAGUGGAUGCAACAACGCAGAGGACGGAACCAAAGUUAAGUGAAAAUAUUGGUCCGUAUUUUUGGGAGAGGCGGUCGAAGGAGUGGUGGAGAAGGGGACCUAACAUGUGCAUGUGGCCGAUGAUCGGAAGUUUGAAUAGAGGAGAUGGAGGGAGGUUUUUUUGACGGUUUAAAAUUGGCUGGAAAAUAAUGUAGCAAAUGAGUGAUGAAAGAAAUAAUGUGAAGGCCAAUAGUAGAGGUUCCAUGAUAUGUUGCUAUAGUAUAUUAGUUGAAUUGUAAAAUUUUACUUUGGAAUAUAGUUGAAUAAUAUAUAUAUAUGAUUGAAGCUAGCGUAAGAGGUUUAGGAGCUACCAAGGAUAUAUUGCUCUCAAAUUAGUUUGAUUAGAAAUGUGCUAAUAUUUGGCUAUUUAUAGAGCAAUAAUUGGUGAACUGGUUUCAACCUUGUAUUCUAGAAAUUUAUUUUUUUUAAUAAACUUUGUGUUGAUUUUCGUACAUCUUGUUGACGUAGAUAUUUCAAAGUUACAAACUUUUUUUGACAGUUGAAAGUUACAAACUAACUUUUCUUGUCCCCAAUAAAAUAACAUAUAGAAGUUUGAACCUUAUGCUAAAAAACAAAAUAUAGCUUUGAACUAUAGCUUUGACAUGCAUGCAAAUUUUUGAAACUUCGGAAAAGAGUCGUGGCAGAAUAAUUAUUUAAGUUCAAGGGAAAUUUAAUCAACCAUCAUUUGGCACGAAGAAGGGAUCUAUGAUCUAUCAUAGCAUCAUCAUUCCAAUUGUUCAAAAUUAAUGUACUCACCAAACUAUAAGGUCCAACCAACCAUUCAGACUAGCUAGAAAAUACAAAAUAACAUGAAGUAGUUGAUUUUGUUUUUUCUUUUUUCUUUUUUCGGAAUUUUUUAAAAAUAAUUGUUUAGAGUUUUUUUUAAUAUUUUUCUUCAAAUUUUAUCCUCUUAAUAUUUUUAUCAGUUUUUCCUUCCUUAUCAGUCAAACAACUUAAUUUUGUAAAUAAUCAAAUAAAAUUUUGCAAGUUCUAUUGUUUUUAUCGACAAAAGCGUACAUACAUGUCAAAAUGCUUAUAUGUAUAAACGUAUUGGGCAUAUAUAGUAUCAAUUUUAUCAUUUUUAACGCUCAUAUGUUCUGUUGGCCGCAUGUAUGUGGGGAAUCUGAACACAUCAGCAUUAAAUGUCAGAAACUGAAGAAGGCGCAAUCAGGUGGAAAGGUAUUUGAUUUGAGUGGAGAAGGGAGUUCGGAACUAGACGCUCAGACUUGAGGUAAUUUUCGAGGACGAAAAUUCUUUAAAUUGGGGAGAAUUAUAACAUCCCAAUUUUUAUUACUAUUUAAUAAUUUAUGUGUUUAUUACUUUUAUUUGAUGUGGUUGAAUUGAGGGGUUAGUUAAAUAUUAGGAAUUAAGAGUUUAUGAGGAAUUAAGAGAGUAGAGGUGUAUGAGUAAAUAGGAGGUUUAACUGAGUAAAUGAGUAAUAUUUUAUUUAUGAAGAAAAUAAACAUGAGAGAAACUAAGCCCAUUAAGUGAUGUGAGAAAUCUAAACCCAAACAAGAAUAUAUAAAUAGGAGUUUUACUCUUUACCUAACACAUUUUGCUCGCACCCAACUGAAAUACCGAAAGUACCCCUGCAUGAGUUAACUCACACAUGUGUUAAAAUAUGCGCAUCUUAACAUGUGCUGCGCAACUUAACUCACACUGAAAUUAACACUUGCCUUAGUUAACUCACGCUGGAAUUAACAAUUACGUGAGUUAACUUACGCAGAGGUAUUUUGGAAAGUUCAGUUGGGAGAGAGCAAUAACUGUUGGGUAAAAAGUAGAACUCUAUAAAUAGAUUGUAGUCUUUGGAAAAUUAGGGUUAAAGAUCAUAAGAAACAUUUAAGAGAAUAGGAAAGAAGGGAGCUAGAAGGGGAGAACUCUCGGAGGCUAGAGGACAAGAUUGGAUGGAGACCCACUCUUGGGGAAGGCGUUUAUUUUCACACUUGGGAUUAUAUGAGCAAAUGGAUGGUAAAAGGAUUUAUGUAAUCUUUCUUAAUUUCAUGUUCUUAUGAUGAAUUGAUGUGGAAUUCGUACUCUAGUAUGUUGUUGUGAUUAUGAGUAUGUGAUUAUUUGUGAAUCCAUGAUGUUGAUAUGCUAAAUCCAUGAUUUUAUUGUGUUAAUGUUGUGGUUUUGAGUUUUAUGUUAAAAUGAGUGAAAUUCAUGAAAUUUGAUGCAUGAUUUGUGUUUUGAUGGGUUGUAAUUGCUUAUUUAAAGUGUUUCGAGAUAACUAUUCCGCUGCGACGUUUCUUUUAUUGUGAAUUAAACACUUUGGUUUUGAUGAGAUACGUGACAACCUUGGUGUAUUGUAAUUAUUUAUUGAAUAUUCCGUUGAAAUUGUUUUGUGGGGUUUAGGGUGUUACAUGUUUAGUUCUUGAAUGUCAAACUAAGUUUUUGGCAAGAUUAAUAGCACUACUAUUGUCGCACUUGAUAGGAACAUCAAAUGACUUUGGCUAUGUUUUUUUUAGCACUUUUCCUUGCAUUUGAAGACAAUUAAGAUGAGAGAUAGUGGAGUUGUUAAUGGUUUGAUGAACUUAUUGUAUUAUGGCGCCGUUUAAGGUACGCGACCGUAAUGGGUCUUGCAUGGUGCGCGACCUGCUUUGACAAGUUUUUUUUUAUGUUGGUGUGAUAACUUGCAUGUGUAGGUCAAUACAAUAUUAGUUACUUAUUGUUGUAGGUAAUCAGUAUUAUAUUAAUCACAUAUACAAAUAGAAUGCUAAUGUCAUUUUGGGUAGUUCAUAAUUAGUACCUUUCCUCUAUUCCUUGCCUUUUCACUCAAACGAGAAGAACCUUUCCUCCCAAUUUCUACAUAAUUAUACACAACCCAUCUGAGAAUUAAAUUUCAAAAUCGAUUUUUUGGUUGGAACUGGUUCAAUUGGUCCAGAUUUUGGCAUCACAUCACUUUCUUGAAUGAUGAUCAGUGGUAAGUUUGUAUCAAUUUUGAUUUUAUUUUUUUAUAGAAACUGUAUAUAUUUUAAGGUUAAAGCACCCAUAUGGAAUCGAAUGCAAAUGUCGUUGUAGAUUCAUCUAAUGAAGUUAUGGAAGCUUAUUAUGUAAGUGAAAGUAAAUAUAAGAUGUGGUUGUAACCCAUUUGUUUGUCAGAUUAUCUGACCUAGUUUUAUAUACCCAAGCAAUGGAUGAGAUUAGACAUGAGAAUGAAGCUGACGGGAAAGGGUAUGAUAUUGUUGACAGUGAAGGAGAUGAUACUGGUGAUGAUGAAGAGGAUGAUAUUGGUGACAAUGAAAGGGAGUUAUCUGCAGAAAAAAAAAUGAAGGUGAUGAAGCUUUCUUAGGUUUUGAAUACGAUGAAGAUGAUUAUUCCGUUGAUGGGCAUGAAAUUUCAUAUGCAGAUGAUGAGGAUUUGGACGAAAAUUCUGAUGGUGUGAAUGAUUCAAUAUUUUCAUAUCUAAGUCAAGAUGAAUCAAUUGUAAUAGAUGGUGUUGACGAUAUUGUAAAGAUGUAUAUGUUUAAUUUGCAAAAUGAAGAUGUUUCAAAGCUACUAUUUGGGAGUGUUGAGGUUGCCUACAAUUUUUAUUGUUGGUUCGCAAAGAUGAACGGUUUUGCUGUGUGGAAAGGUCAAGUAAUUAAAAAUAAGAAUGAAGAUGUUCUUGAACAUACAUUUGUGUGCAAUCUAGAAGAUUUUAGGAGAGACAGGGGGUUAACAAUAGAGGAAUGUAAGAGUGGUCCGAAACAUGAAACCAUAUGUGGUUAUGAAGUGAAAUUUCGUGUGCAUAUUGAUAUAAUUACUCAACGUUGGUACAUCACAAUUUUCACCUUUGAUCACAAUCAUGAUAUGUUGAGUGAGAAACACUGUGCAUUGUUGGUUGCUCAUAGGAAGCGGAGUAAGUUUGAUAAGAUUCAAGUAACCAACUUUGGCAAUGCUGGAAUCAAAGUUACGCAAAUGAUUGGUGCAUUUGCAAAUGCCGUUGGUUGGUAUGAUAAGGUAGAAUUUUUGAAAAAGGAUUAACACAAUCAAAUUAUAAGACAAAGAAAAGAGAUUUUUUCGGAUGCUAAAGGUGCCGUUACAUAUCUUAAAGAUCUAUGUCGUAAAUAUCCAUUGAUGUUUGUAGCACAUACGGUUGGUGCAAAUGGUAGGAUGCAAAACUUAUUCUGGAGUGAUGGGGUAAGUCAAAAGAAUUUCGAAGUCUUUGGUGACGUACUUGAUUUCGAUGCAACUUAUAAGAAAAAUAAGUAUAGUUGUCCAUUUGUUGUGUUCUCUGGUGUUAACCACCACAACCAGACAAUUAUUUUUGCUACCUUUGUUGUUUCAAAUGAGGUUGAAGGAACAUAUGUGUGGUUGCUUGAGCAGUUAUUGGUUGCAACGAAGGGUAAGACUCCCGUAUCCAUAAUAAAAGAUGGUGAUAUAGCAAUGAAGAAUGCGAUCAAGAAAGUUUUUCCCAAGAGUUAUCAUAGGUUAUGUGCAUGGCAUCUCAUACGAAAUGCAAUGACCAACAUUGGUAAUCUUGAUUUCAUCCUAUUUUUCAAAAGAUGUAUGCUAGGUGAUCAUGAUGUUUGGAAAUUUGAAAAUCUCUUGAAUGAAAUGGUUGAAAAGUUUGGUCUUCAAGAUAACAGAUGGAUAAAUGAAAUGUAUGAGAAAAGGAAAAUGUGGGCAGCGAGUCAUAUUCGGGGAAACUUCUUUGCAAAAAUUAGAACAACGUCCCGUUGGGAGGCGUUUCAUAGCCAUAUGUGUCAGUUUAUACACUCAAAGAUGAAAAUGCCAGAUUUUGUUAAGCACUUCUAUAAGUGUGUUUCAUAUUUCUGCUUCAAGGAGAUCCAAGCUGAUUUUAAUUCUCAAUACGGGUGUGCGGUGUUACAGACUAAUUUGAGGUCGCUUGAGAGGUUUGCUUCAAAUCAAUUCACAAAAGAAAUAUUUGAGAUGGUACAAAAAGUCAUAAACAAGGUAGCACUAAUUUCUAUAUUAGAUACUCAAAAUAUGUCUUGUUUUUCAAUAUCGACAAGGAGGCUAUGUUUGGUGUGUUUCUCAUAGUCCAUCAAACGAUGAAUUUGCAUGUUCUUAUCUUAGAAUGGAAUAUAUUGAAAUUCCUUGUGAGCAUAUCAUCGCCCUACUAGUAUUUCUUGAUAUUGAUGAAUUUCUUAAGUCUCUAGUGUUGAAUCGUUGGUCAAUAUUUGCAAAGGAGUCAAUGAGAGGUAAUUACGAUGAUAGUUCGCAUUAUUGGGAUUCUCAAUUGGUUGCUAGACAUGCCCACUUGGUGUAUCUUAGUAAGGAGCUUUAUGACAUACCAUAUAAGGAUAUUGAUGAUUAUAUAAAAUAUCUAGAAUAUGUAACAGAUGAACUUGCUAGGCUUAAGUCAAAGUGUAACGUCCUCUUUGAAUUAUUUGAUUUAUUUGAUUGUUUUAACAAGUUUAGAAUAUAUUUAUAUGAUUAUGUGAUUUAUUAAGUGGCUUAUUUUAUUAUUUAAUGGAAUAUGAUUUGAAAAUAAAAUAAGAUUAAAGUUGUGGGGGCUGUUUUGAAAAUUAGAUGAGUGAUAUUUUGUUAAGUUAUAUGUUGAUAUUUAUUAGUGAAAUAUAUAUAUGAUUUGUUGUAGAAAUAUAUGUUAUUUGUUGUAGAAAUAUAUAUGAUUUGUUGUAAAAAUAUAUGUUAUUUGGUGUGAAAAUAUAUGUUAUUUAGUGUAGAAAUAUAUUCGUUAUAGAGAUAUAUUUGUUAUUCGUUAUAGAAAUAUUAUAUAUAUAUAUAUAUAUAUAUAUAUAUAUAUAUAUAUAUUAGAAUAGAAUAUUGAGAUGUGGGGCUGUUUUGGAAUUUAGAAGAGUUUAGUGGAAAAAGAGGAAUAAAAUAAAGUAAAUAGAGGAGAUAUAAAUAGGAGAAGACCUAGUUUAGAAAAAUUAGUACGUACGAUCAAUUUUGGAGAAAAGGGAGAAAAAGCCAAGAGAAGGGAGGAAGACCUAGAGAGCUGCGAUUUCAAUUCUUAAGGUAAGGGUGAGACUAGCAUUCAAUUCUAUUAAUCUAUAUGAUUCUGAUGGUUGUAUUUAGCAAGAGUAGGAUUGGAUUUAGAGAAGUUUGAGAAUUAGGUUAAAGUGAAGAAUUGGUGAGAAAUUGAUGAAUAAUGAUUAGAUUGAUGUAGAAACUGGUUACAAACCUUAGAUGAUCCAUAGGAUGAUUACAGGAAUCAAUUUUGAGGUUUAAACCAAGUGAUUAAGUGAAUUUUCGUGAAAAUUGUGAUUCUGCCCGAGCCAACAUUCAUCGCUCGCCUCCCGAGCUAUGAUCCUUGCCAUAGCGAGUGAUGAAGUUCAUCACUCGCCUCGCAAGCAAGAGUUACCCGCCUCGCGAGUUGCACCUCGCAGCUCGCCAUAGCGAGCAUGACCAGAGAGCUAUCCAGAUUUUGUACUUUUGACUUUUAAGUUGAACCUUGGAUGUUUUUGAGUGUCUGGACUUGUAUAAUGAUGAUUAGGAAAGAUUGUAGAUUGAGAUUGAACCUGGAAUAGUUUAAGAACGAAUUUAUGUGAGUUACAGCUGAACUCGCCAUGGCGAGUAGAGGCUCUCGCCUCGCGAGCUAAGCAGUUACAGAAUGCCUUGUUUAGGUUAAAAGCGAUCUUUGUCACACGAGUUGAUGUGAGUUGAUCUUGGAGGUUAGAAACUAAGUUAUCGACCUUGAUGUUGUCAUUCCAGUAAGCCUGGAUUGUAUAUUCUAAUAUUGAUGAUAAUGUUAUAUAAUUGUAUAUACAUUGUAUGAAUUAUGUUGAUAUAUGAGAUGUUGUUGAUAUGAAGUUGAAAUUGAUAUACAUGAAGAUUAUUAAUGAUGGUUACUUGCUGUAUAUGUUUAAAUGAUGUUGUCUUGCUGUCGUGAUGAAUAUGAUUGACUUUGAUGAAUCUUUAUAUAAUUGUGAAAGAUGCUUAUAUGAAGUCGUAAUGGUUGUAUUUGACGAUUAUUGUUGAUGUUGACUUGCUACAUAUUAUUUAAUGGUGUUGCCUUGCGGUUGUGACGUAUUAAUAUCAUGAAGAUCUAAUGUGGGUCUAAGUUGUUUAAGUUGUAAAAUGUUGAUCCAAAUUAUUGGAGUCAUAAGAGAUGUCUAAGUUGUUAAGCUGUUAAGAUAUUGAGUCCAUUGCAUACUCAUUUACGUUGGGUGAGGGCUUGAUGCUCUGUAAUGUAUAUUUAUACAUAAUAUGUGAAGGGAGAGGGCUUGAUGCUCUGUGAGCCUAUUUACGCUCAAUAUGUUGGGGGCUUGAUGCCCUGGUUGGUACCACAUGCAUGAUUAAGAAGUUGAAGUUGCAUAGUCAAGUUGAAGUCGUUGUCUUUAAGUUGACAUUUUUCAAUGAGUUGUUAAUGAAGUACUUUAUGAAGUAUUAUUAUUAUAAUGUUAUGAUGUGAUGUUUAUGUUGAUUAUAUGAUGAUGUUUAUGAUAUGAUGAAUAUGUUGUUGUUAUAUUAUUAUAAGAUGAUGAAUAUGAUGUUGUUAUAUUAUUAUAAGAUGAUGAAUAUGUUGUUGUUUAUGUUGUUGUUUAUAUGAUUAUGAAAUGAUGAUUAUGUUGUUGUCUAUAUGGUUAUGAAGUGAUGAUUAUGUUAUCUAUGUUAUUAUAAGGUGAUGAUUAUAUUGUGUUUAAUGAGAUGAUGAUUAUGUUGUGUGUUAAAGAUGAUACUUAUGAUGUGAUGAUCUAUGUUGGUUAUGAUUUGGUUGUUAUGUGCUAUAUGAUAAUGUUUUUAAUGUGAUGAAUAUGAAGUUAAUGAUGAUUAGAAGUUACUAAUAGAUGAAGCUAUUUAUGUUGUUAAAUAUAAUUAAUGAAUUAUAUGCUUGAUAUUAUUGUUUUGUGAAAUCUCACCCCUUCUGCUUGGAAAUGUUGCUCUUCGUAUGAGUAACUUGCAGGUGAUCAAGUUUAGGUUGCUGUGUUUUGUUGUCGUGAGUGGCUAUCCCUCACUGAGUCGUUUAGGUGCUCUGAUACGUAACGGGAUGGGAUCUUUUGUGACUAUUUUCUAUUCCUUUACGUAUUUGAUUAUGAUUUUAUGAUUAAGUUAUUUAACUGAAUAAUUAUGAGAUAUUUGAUAAGGCCUGCAUUCCAAGACUUAUUUAUGAUGUUGAAUUAAAUCCGCUGCAAUGUUUUGGAAUUGAAUUAUGCUGAAGGAUAAUUAGUUAAUUAUCUCAUUUAUGAUUUUUAGAAGUGUAGCAUUCCGUUUAUAUGCUUAUUACUCUGAUAAUAUGUUUGAAAUUUUUAAGUUGGGAAAACGGGGUGUUACACAAAGUAUGAGUAAGAAGGUGAACCAUAUAAUUUACAUGUCCCAUUGAGUUGGAUAACAUACCGAAGCAAUCAUGUUCAAGAAGCAAAGGGUAUGGAGCUAGCUCUAGAAAUGCAAAUGGUAGCCGUCGACGAACACAAACGUGUGGUAUAUGUGGUGCAUCUAGAAACAACAGACGAUAUUGUCCCACACUUAUAUAGAUGGUGAAUAUCUUCCAGACACUACAUUUGAAACAAGAUCAUUACGAUUAAGUGAUGACGUUUAAUCAGUGAAUUGUGAAACAAAAGAUUCAGUUGUAGGUACGUGUUGUUUUUAUACGAAUCAAGUUUAUAUUUAUCUUUGGCUUAAUUGAUCUGCCGGUCCCUUAACUUAUUUCUUUUAUUCAAUUUGGUCCUAUAAAUCUUAAUUUUCUCAAACACGUCCCUUCACUUAUUUCUUUUAUUCAAUUUGGUACAAUUUUGAUAAUUUUAAUCCUUUAAAAAAAGAGACCGUUGGAUUACGAAGGUCUAUCAGAUUUUAUAGUGUAUCAUCAACACCAAAUUUAUUUACUUUCUUCUUCUUCUUCCAUCAUCUUCAUUCAUCCUUCAAUCAUCGUCAUAAACAUUGGCUUCUCAUGGUUCUUUUGUUUUGUUGGGGUUUCUUCGAAUUCAUUGUUGAGAAAUAAACCCAUAAACAACAUUCAGUCCAAGAUGAAGCAAAUACCGGUUCCUCGAAUGAUAAACAACCAACAACAAACGAAAGAUCUGGUCUCAUCACCAACGUCCUUCUCACCACCACCACUACAUCCUUCUUCUCCGACCAACUCACACACAACACCAACAUCCUUCUUCCACUCGGAUCUCAACCACCACUCCUCUCUUCUUCCUCCUCAUAUCUGUAACAACAUUUCACGUUUCAUCUUCUUAUAUUUUCUUCUUCCCUGUAUUUACAUCAUCUUUAACAACAUUCUUAAAAAAAAUCCAGAAAAAAAUCCAAGAUCUUGGUUUUCAAUUUUACAUCUUCAAUUUUAUUUAUUUAUGUAUUCCUUCGAUUUACAUCAUCAACAUAGAGUUUCAAAAAUCCAAGAUCUUCAAUGACCCAUUAACACAAAUAGUUUCAAAAUCCAAACUUUAACCAACCCACUUCUCAAAAUCGUUGAUUUCAUAUGCCCACAUAGUGAAAUUAGUUAUGGGAGCUGAAAAAAAUGGCUUUUCACGCUAUUCAGUGUAGCAGUUUUAUCUCUAAUGCUUUUGUUAAUGUCUUCUUUUUCAACUUUCAGUUCUCAAAAGCCUUUUCCAUCUCUUGUUCAACAUGGUUCUCAUUACCCUCUGGCUUUUGCAUACUUUAUUUCUGGUGUUUUGAAAAUAAUGGAUUUUUCUUCUUUUGAUUUUGGGAUCGUUAUGGUGAGGUGAUUGGAGGGUGUUGAUGAUGAUAGAUGAAGAUGACAAUGAUGAUGGUGUAGUGAUUAAAUAGUAGGUUUAAUUUUUUUUUUCUUCUGGAUUUUAUUGAUGAAUAUUGAUGAAGGAUGAAUGUAGAUGAAGAUGAGGGAAGAAGAAGAAGAAGAAGAAAGUAAAUAAAUUAGGUGCCGGUGAUACACUAUAAAAUCUGAUAGACCUCUGUAAUCCAACGGUCUCUUUUUCUAGGGGAUUAAAAUUAUCAAAAUUGGACCAAAUUGAAUAAAAGAAAUAAGUUAAGGGACAUGUUUGAGAAAGUUAAGACUUAUAGGAAUAAAUUAAAUAAAAGAAAUAAGUUAAAGGAACGGAAGAUCAAUUAAGCCUUUAUCUUUUUAAUAAAAAAUUGAUUGAGGUUAAUAUUGAAUUUGAUAUUGAAAUUGAAUUUGAAUCUGUAGGAUGGAAUCUGUUCAUAAUGGUUGUUUGUUUAUUGAGCAUAUGUGUUUAUGUGGUGUGUAGCUUGGAUCUACAAUAUUUGGUUGAUUGAUUUUUUGAAGUUGGUGUGUCGACAUAGAUUUGAUCUUCAGACUUCAUUUCUUGAAUUUUAGAUAUUUGUACUAUGUGUUUAUAUUGGAUUGCCAAACGGUAUACACUCAUGAAUUUAUGAUGUUUUGUUGUUAAUUUAGUUGGUGCUAGAUAUGUUGAAUUCUGUUGAAUCCUUUUAACCAUUAACUUAUUCUAAUCUUUAAUCUAGUUGGAGAUAUAUAUUAUGAAUUAUGUCCAAUAUUUAUAACAAAAUUGUGCUUAGUAGGUUGGUCAGGUAAUGCAUACAAAAAACACUAGGAUUUAUCCGUGUGCAAUGUGGUUAGCCAUUGAAUUAUUCUAAUGUUUUGCUGUUAAUUUAGUUGAAGCUAAAUAUUAUGAAUUAUGUUCAAUCCUUUUAAACAUUUGUGCUUAGUAGCUUGGUCAUGUAAAUUAUACUAAAAACACGAGAAUUUACCUGUGUGAUACAACAUUGAAAUGAGGAUUUUUGUCUUUGUGCAUCGUUAUUGUGUAUCAAUGUGUUUGUAAUAUUGAAGAUUGAUGUAUGAGGUUAGUAAAAGAAAUCCUAUUCCAGGUUUUUAGACAUAAGAAAAAAAAUAUGACUAUACUAUCUUACCACAAUGAAAUUAAAACACAUAUAUAGAAGACUUAAUUACACUUUUGAUCCUCGCAUUUUGAUCAGCUCACGAAAAUUGUCUUGCCUCUUUCAAAUCGAACAAAACCGUCCUAAACUAUCAUGUUUUUUGCUGUUUUAGUCCUACCUCCUAUUUUCAACUCCAGAAACACAGUGAAAUGACAGUUUUAAGCAAUUAUAGACCUACCCCCUAUGCUCAACCAUGAAAUAAACAAAGAAUAAACAUGUGGGUACAAGGAAUCUACUAUAUUCAGCAGACUGACCAAAAAAACCAUAAUUUGAAACAUAUCUUAGAAAUUAGGGUUUUUUGGUUUGUGUGUUGAAUAAAGUGGAUUCCUUGUACCCACAUAUUUUAUUCCUUAUCUAUUUCAUGGUUGAGCAUAGGGGUAAGUCUAAAACUGUCAUUUCUUUGUGUUUUUGAAGUUGGAAAUAGGAGAUAGGACUAAAACUGCAAAAAAUAUAUAGUUUAGGGACGGUUUUGUUCGAUUUGAAAAAGGUAGGACCAUUUUUGUGAGCUGGUCAAAAUGCGAGACCAAAAGUGUAAUUAAGCUCAUAUAGAAUUAUAAAUUAGGUCAACAUAUCACAUGUAGUACAUGUGGUGGUGUUACACAAUACUUAGAUUGUUUUGGAUUAAACAAGAAAUACAUACUUGUCUAAUUGGUUCAUUUGCCAUACAUAUAAAUACCAAAAAAAUUGGCCCAAAGACAUGCAUAACGCAUCUACAACAAAAGGCAUUUCUGAAUAAAGAACACAGACAUGCGUUGAAGCAUGUAAGAUAAUAUUGUGCAUAAUACUAAAUUAGAAAUAAACACCAAAGUUGUGUCCAAAAUAGGUGGCAAUGUUCCAAAAUUGGUUGAUAAACAUAAGAAAAUUAAAAAAUACAAGAUCGAAUUUCGAAACAAUAAUGAACGCUCGCGGCGUCAACAACACAAGAUCGAAUUUCGAAACAAAGAUAUGGAUUUCCAACGUUCUAUGUUUUACGAUUUGUUAUCACACAUGAUUAAUAUUCGUUGCAUAUUACAAUAAUCCUCUUUCUAUUCUUAUAAUUCAUAGGAUUAUGUCUUCAUCCCUGCAUCUUUUUAUCAAGUAUGGAAAGAAGAGGUCCUGGUGGUUAGUCAGAUUUACGACGGUCAUGACCAUGUCGUCUAUGAUUGUUCAAUCAAACUUGCAACAUGUGGGAGAAGUAAACUAACAACUGAUUUUACCAUCAUAAGGAAGUUAUAGGCUUGAGUUUGUAGAUUAUUUGUUUUUUAUUUUAACAAUUUUAAUUGAAUCGAAAUCAAAGCCUCCAAAGGUGAAAAGAGUUCAAACCAAUUUACUUCACAAACAUGACAAGCGUUGUUCUUUGAUAUCAAAUCCAUCAACCACCAAUAAUAAUAUAUUGGGGGUAGAUACACCGUUAUGGGAGUCUACCACAUCGGCAUCUAUUUUAUUUUAAAUUAAGUAUAUAUUUUUCGUUUGUCGAGCUUCUGGAAAACUUAUAAGUUUGUUUUAACUAUGGAAAUGGAUGGUAAAAAUUUACUCCUUGUUCACACACAGACGAUCCCCACACAUGUGGUACAAAUAAGACUAUCUGAAAGGUCCGCUCAUAUUAAAGUAUCAACACGUUGGGGAGUUGAGGAAAGCUAGGGGCUGAUUUGGAAUAGCAAACGCAAGUCUCAAUGUCAUCUUGGUCGAGGCUGGUAUAGGUUUUUUCAAACGGCUUCAAUAAGCAUUGGCAACAAGAUCCAAUUUUGAGUCACUAUUUACAAAUGUUAACUUAUGCUCAUGACAAAUUAAAUUGUGAUUUAAUUUUACUAUUUAGUUUCAAUAAGCAUUGUCAGCCACUAUUAUAAAAUGUAAUUUAAUCUAAUUUCAACUUUGACUUUCAUUGUAUGUUCUUAUAUGUCUAUCUAGUAACAAAUUCUUUCAAUUCAACCUUAUGCCAUCAUUAUAACACUAUGCCCCUGAUUAUUAGUUAUUUUAUUGAUUUUACUAUUAUUAAUUCCCUAUUGAAAAACACAAUAUUAAUUUCAAAAUUUUAAAGCAAAUUUACCUAACAUUGAUAACAAAUAUCAUGAAUCAUUUUUUUUAUUUAUCUAUUUAACCUAACAAUUUUCAUCUAAAACAAUGCAUCGCACCAAUUUUAUUCCUAUCAUCUUGCCUUUUUUUUUUUUGAAGAAAAUAUUUUCUACACUUAUUUGAUGAUGCACGUUUGUUCUAGAAACUAUGAGCAUAUCAAUGAUCACGUUUGAUGCCUUCUAUUUUAUACUUUUUUGUUCUAAAAACUAUGAGCAUGUCAAUGAUGACGUUUGAUGACUUCUAUUUUAUACUUUUUUUUUUGACAAUAUUUUGUAUUUCAUGCCUUAUUUUUUACAAUAUUUUCUACACUUUUUUUUAACCAAUUUUAUGCCUUUAUUUCAUUCCUAUCAUGUUGCCUUCUUUUCUUGACAAUAUUUUCUACACUUAUUUAAUACGUUUACAAAUAGAAUACCCUAAUUUUCAUGCAAACUCGGCUACCCUAAUUUCCAUGUAAACUUGGUUAUAUAUACCCGAAUUAUUGAUAUGAUUACCGAAUUUUCUUUUAUAAUAUUUUCAGAUUUCAUACAUUUUAUGAAGUGUUUUAUUUUGUCUACUAUGGAUUACCACAUGUUAUUUUUUCACCGUUAACUAUUAUAUAUUGUAUUUUAUUAUUCGUAUGUCAAUCCUUUUACAUUAAACCCGAGCGGAGCACGGGUCAAAAAUCUAGUUUCUUUAGAAAACGUCAUACAUAAUAUAAACCUAGGUUAGUCCGACAAAAGUUAGUUAAAGAAACUUCAUAUGAGUUUUACCGUUGGAUUCAUUAAAUCAAAGUAGGCACCACAUAAGUUGUUUGUUUUGUUUGAACAAAAUGAGUUUAAACAAUGCCUCGUAACUUUUGAUGAUAACAAGGUAUUAAAAGUUGAAUUGGAUAUGCUAAUAUUUGUUCAAGUGUGCAUGACCAUAGACUAAAAUUUAUGUCUUAAAACCAAGUUUUGCUUAUGGAAUAACAAAUUAGAGCAAAGGAAUUUUCAAGGGAAACUUAGUUGCAAGUUAGAAUCUGAAGAAGUCAGAGUCUGAAGACUAUCCAGAAGCUGAUUGUCAAAGUAUGAAGUUCACCCAAAGUUUGAAGAUUCAUCAGAAGCUGAAGUGAAGAACCUGAAGUUAGUUAUUAUGGAUAUUUGAAGACACACUGAAGAAUUAGAAGGCAAUGGAUGGUUAUCCUCAUAAAAAGGAUAGUGAAGAACAAUAAUACAAUUAUACAACCACUACAUCCACUACUCCAACAUUUCCUACGCAUAGUACAAGCUACAACUGUGUCUACACCGGAUUAGAAUGCUUUUCAAAUUAUUCCCUCCUAGGUGAUAUGAUAUUCUAUACUGAUUAACUUAAUAUCAUAUUUUCAAGAUUUUUUAUUCAACGAUAUUAUUACCUACAAGGCUAUAAAAAAAAACUCAAGAUUUUUUAGUCAACGAUAUUAUUAUAGAAGGAUUUCUAUUUUAUAUUGAUUAUCUUAACCCGUUAAAAACGAUUAUCUAGUCUAGCUAAUAACUCUUUGCGAAGUUUCCUUAAAAAAAAAAAAAAAAAAAAACUCCUUGCGAAGUUGCACCUUAUAUUAUUAGCAAAAAAAGAUAUUAAAUUUCAACGUAAACUAAUUUAGAUUUACGUGUAAUAAAAUUCUAAUAUUUAAAUCAGUUAUAAUAUAGGCUGACAUAAGAAUAUGAUGAAUUCUAAUUUUGUCAAAAAAGAAAUGAUGAAUUCUUAUUACAGAAAUGAUAAAUGGACACAGAAAUUCAAACACAAAAACGACACUAGGGGUAGUUUUGUAAUUUUGCCCUCAUUAAAACCAAAAUUGCAGCUUCUUCCUCUCUCAGUCUCUGACCUUCAAUCUCUCUCUAAACCUGGUACUCUCCCGUCACCACACCUUCAUCCUUUCUCCAACAUCACUGUCGUUUCACCCUUCUUUCUCGACUAUUCUUCUUCUCUUCAAUACCGUUACACUCAUCUUCCUCUUCUCUCCUCUACAAAACAGUGACAAAUCCUAAUCUUCAAAAUUAAACUCACAUCACAGACACAUGAAUAUAGAAUCAGAGCAUAGAUUUUAGAUCGGAACAGUAGAUCGUGAGAUCUUCUCGUCGGUGGGGGAGAACGUGGAAACAGUGCCGGUAGAUCGUGAGAUCUUCUCGUCGGUCGGGGAGAACGCGGAACGACGCCGUUCGUCGGCGAGAGAACUGUGUGAGGGAGGGAGGGAGAGAGAGAGAGAGAGAGAGAGAGAGAGAGCGCGUCUCCGAUGUCCGGCGGUUUAAGUCGGUCCUGUCUGAAAGGUAUGGCAGUGAGGAGAGGGAGCAUGAUGGGAGAGUGAUGGUCUUGCACGGGAAAGAAGAAAAUGAAAUUAAAAUAAAAAAUAUAUUAUGUAUUAAAAAACAGGGAAAUACAAUACGGUGUCGUAUAUGUGUUGUGGUUUUUGUGUCCCGUUAUCAAUGCUCUUCUUAUUAUAUGUUGGUAUAAAUGCAUCUCUAAUAAAAAUUAAUAUUAUUGAAAUGAAAAAGACAGAAUUACAAAUUUCUUUUACCAACUAAACAUGAACAUAAGAUGUUCGUUUGUUGAAUUUAUUAUACUUUCUAAAUAAUUAACAAAUCAAAUGACAUAAAAUAAAACGUAUAUUUCAUCAUUACUGUUAUUUGAAUAAAUCCUUACUCAACCGAUGAAAAGUUGAAGAAACAAUCAACAUCCAAGGCUUUGAAGAGGUCCACCACAAGCAAACCUUUCAACAGGAACACAAACCAAAUCAUGCACCCUAGGAGCAGUCAAUCCUGGCCUUUCAUUCACAUCAAUAACAAUAUCACCACCCUUCAAAAUCUCACCCUUAGGACCCACAAAAUUAAAAUCAAAGCAUUGAAUUAUGGCACCAAGCAAAGCUGGAACUUCUUGCAUUGCUAAAGUAACCCCAGGACACAUCCUUCUUCCUGACCCAAAUGGCAAAAUCUGAAAAUUUUGCCCCCUCACAUCAAUAACCCCAUUGGAAUUUGUUGAAUUUUUUAGAAAUCUUUCUGGAUUAAAUUCCAAUGGUUUGUCCCAAUAAGCUGAGUUUCUUCCCAUAGCCCAAUUAUUCACAAAGAUUAAACUAUUUUCUGGGAUCACAUAAUUUUCAAUUUUGCAUUGCGUGACACAUCUUCUAGUGACCAUAGGAACCGGUGGGUGUAGACGAAAUGUUUCUUUUAUUAUGGCUUGAAUAUAAGGAAGAUUUGGUCCGUCAGAUUCAUCUACUAGUCUGUUUUUCCCUACUACAUUGUCUAUUUCUUCACGAGCUUUUUGUAACAAUGAAGGGUUGUUCAUUAGCUCAACUAAUGCCCAUUCUGUUGAAAUUGAUGUUGUGUCUGUUCCUGCUGUAAAGAAAUCCUGUGAAACAUAUGAAAUUAAAAGAAUUAAUUAAUCAUUAACUUUUACUUAGGUUUCUCUUAAAUAGUAUGGAUAAAUGCAUAAUUAUACUCCUUUCGGUCAGGAUUAUUGACAAAAAUGAUUAACUUCACAUUUAUUAAGUAAUUUAGUUUUAUUUUUUUACAAAAAGGAUUUUUGUUAAUAUAAUUAAUAUUUUUUAUCUUAUAAAAAAAACAUUAGCACAUACCCAUAAGCAUCAUGUGUGAGAGACGUUGAGUUUCAUAUGACUAAAGUCAACCAUGGAUCGAACAGUUAUGUUUGGCUGUUGGUGCAUAUAAAUUAAAUAAUUUAAUUAAAAUAAAAAAAUACAUUAAUUUUGUCCUGGAAUUAUUUGAUAUUAUGUCAAAAUCUAGUUGAUUAGGUCUAACAGGCACGUGCUCAUAAAAGAAAUAUCAACUCAUCAAUGAAUAUUUUUCAAAGGGAAUAUUUGUUAUUCAAAUCCGUACCAAUUAAGUUUUACUGUGGAUCAUAUAAAAUUGUGUGUUCAAUAUAAUAUACUUCAAUAUAUUGUUCUUAAAAAAAUACUUCUAGAUUUUUUAGUAAGAAAAAAUCCAAAACAAACAUUUGAGCAUUGAUAUACGACUUGUACAUAAAAGAAAGAAGUAGAGAUAAAUUUAAUUACCAUAAUCAAGGCCUUGAUGUGAACCCUUUGAACUUUUAUUUCUGAAUUUUGAUCCUCGGCACAAUCAAGCAAUAUAUCAAGAAAGUCUCUGAAUUCAGCACCUUGCUCACCCUUAUUUUCUUUCCUUCCUUUGUUCUUCCUCAACUCUUCUCUUUUACUAAUAAUCCUUUCCACCAAUGUAUCAAACCUCAUAAACAAAUCCUCUAUCCUCUUCCCAAACCCUUGCAAAUCAAGUUUCUUAAACAACCAAAUAAAAUCCGAUACAUUAAACUCUCCAAAAAUCUCGGUCACAUCUCGCACAACAUCCCUAGCCUCCUCAGCUUCCCCCAACAUCAUUUUAGAAAUGACGUUGUUUGACAACUUUAGCAACUCUUGUGUCACAUUCACAGCCUCGUAGUUUUUCGCUUUAUCAGCGAAAAGCUUAAGGAGGUUGUGAGUCUCUUGUAAACGCAAGUGUUGGAAGCUACUAAUGCUACGAGAGCCCAAAAGCUCAUUCAUACUAAGUUUUUUAAUAAAUCUCCAAUAUUCGCCAUAGGGUGCAAAAGCUAGAGAUGCUUCAUAGGUGAGGCGUUUAAUUGCAGUUGAUUCAUUACGACAAUUAAAGGCGUGUUCGUUGAUUUGAAGGAUUUGUUUUGCGUAGUGAGGAGUGGAUGCAACAACGCAGAGGACGGAACCAAAGUUAAGUGAAAAUAUUGGUCCGUAUUUUUGGGAGAGGCGGUCGAAGGAGUGGUGGAGAAGGGGACCUAACAUGUGCAUGUGGCCAAUGAUCGGAAGUUUGAAUAGAGGCGAUGGAGGGAG
rnacentral:lncRNA from 1 species